AAAAAAAAUUUAAAUCAUAUUUUCAUGUUUUAGUCAUAUGUUUUGACUUUUUAUUAAAAUUAAAUUAUUUUUCAGGCUCGGCUCAUUCAGUGCUUGCACCAUAUUGGUCUAAAACUCUUCAACAGAAUUCUUUUUAUGCUCGACAGUGUUCUGCUCGGGGUGGUGACCUAAAUAUGAAGCUUGUUGAUGACAGAGUCCUUAUCAGUGGCAAUGCUGUAGUUGUGAUUCAAGGACAAAUCAACUUUUAACUACACUUGUUAAAUUUUAUAAUAACUUCGUACGAGUUGAAGAACUUAGUUAAAGAAGGGUGAAUUUGAAAAUAAGGUUAUUGGUUUUAAUAAUAUGCUGUGCUGCUAAAACAUUAAAAAAAUAGUUUUUGCUCUAUUUUCCAAAGUUGAUGUUCACACAAAGGACGCAUAGCGUUUUUAAAAAGUGCCUAAAGAUACUUAAUUUUGAUAUACGUUUUUUUAAUAGUCCUUAAAGGUGCUUAUUUAAUUCGGGGUUUGUAAAAAGUGCUUAAUUUUCUAUCUUUUAAAUAGAAAUUUGUUCCUUUGCUAUGUCGAUUGUCA